rnacentral:lncRNA from 1 species
UGUCUUGUUUAAUUGUUUCAUAUACGCAAAGGCCGUCGGGUUUUAAAGCAAUUAUAAAAUCAAUAUUUAAAACAAACUUACCUUCGUUAACGUCGGCUCCCUUCUUUUAGCCGAUUCUUUCGCCCUUUCUUUCUUUCUGAGAAAGCUUUUGAAAUUUACAAAAUCUUGCAAAAAUGCGAGUAAAAAUGAAAUAUAUUUGCA